UACGUAGGGGGCAAGCGUUGUCCGGAAUCAUUGGGCGUAAAGAGCGCGUAGGCGGUCCGGUAAGUCCGCUGUAAAAGUCAGGGGCUCAACCCUUGAAAGCCGGUGGAUACUGCCGGGCUAGAGUCCGGAAGAGGCGAGUGGAAUCCUGGUGUAGCGGUGAAAUGCGCAGAUAUCAAGGAGGAACACCAACGGCGAAGGCAGCUCCGCUGGGGACGGUAAGCUGGACCGCUGGAGGCGCGAAAGCCGUGGGGGAGCAAACAGG
rnacentral:rRNA from 1 species